rnacentral:rRNA from 1 species
CGGCUCUUGACAUUCGGGGUAUGGGCAUUGGAGACGAUGUCCUUCAGUUAGGCUGGCCCCAGAACAGGUGCUGCAUGGCUGUCGUCAGCUCGUGUCGUGAGAUGUUGGGUUAAGUCCCGCAACGAGCGCAACCCUUAUCAACAGUUGCCAUCAUUAAGUUGGGAACUCUGUUGAGACUGCCGUUGAUAAAACGGAGGAAGGUGGGGAUGAUGUCAAGUCAUCAUGGCCUUUAUGUUCAGGGCUACACACGUGCUACAAUGGCCGGUACAAAACGUCGCAAUCCCGUAAGGGGGAGCUAAUCGCAAAAACCGGUCUCAGUUCGGAUUGAAGUCUGCAACUCGACUUCAUGAAGUUGGAAUCGCUAGUAAUCGCGGAUCAGAACGCCGCGGUGAAUACGUUCCC